CAGCUGAGCGGAAGCGCUCUCUUGGCAAAGACUACCACCCUCUUUGUCUGAAGUGCUACCACUGCAAACGGCAACUCAGCCCUGGCCAGCAUGCCGAGUACGAUGACAAACCCUAUUGCUCCCAUUGUUAUCUUCAACGCUUUGGACCAAGAGGGACAAGACCAUUAACAAGUUGCUCAUCCUUUGGUGCAUCUGCUUUAUCUAAGGUUCCAGCAGCAACCCGAAAGACCUCUUAGAUGUCC